rnacentral:rRNA from 1 species
CCUACGGGAGGCAGCAGUGGGGAAUUUUGCACAAUGGGCGCAAGCCUGACCCAGCAACGCCGCGUGAAGGAAGAAGGCUUUCGGGUUGUAAACUUCUUUUCUCAGGGACGAAGCAAGUGACGGUACCUUAUUAAUAAGUCACCGCUAACUACGUGCCAGCAGCCGCGGUACUACGUAGGUGGCAAGCGUUAUCCGGAUUUACUGGGUGUAAAGGGCGUGUAGGCGGGACUGCAAGUCAGAUGUGAAAACCAUGGGCUCAACCUAUGGACUGCAUUUGAAACUGGAGUACUUGAGUACAGGAGAGGCAGACGGAAUUCCUAGUGUAGCGGUGAAAUGCGUAGAUAUUAGGAGGAACACCAGUGGCGAAGGCGGUCUGCUGGACAGCAACUGACGCUGAGGCGCGAAAGCGUGGGGAGCAAACAGGAUUAGAUACCCGAGUAGUC